rnacentral:lncRNA from 1 species
GAACACAUCAAGAGCCUGCUGCAUUCUGGCAUUUUGGAAAAAGGCUCGCAGAGCCGGCGAUUUCAUGGCAGUGUACAGUUGGAAAAUCCAGCAGAGCGGACGAAAGUUUCCCUCGGACUGGAUGCAACGGAUUCUGGACAUAAAAGAGGAUCAUAAGAUGUACCAGCUGCUCAGCUCACACGGAUGUUGUGAAGAUUAAUGUGCUCCUGUUUGCAAAUCUUGAAGAUGAAAGAAUACCUGUGUGGGCAAAAAGAAGAUCAUGAAAACGAUGCCUAUGAGCGCAGGCAUUAUUUUGUAAGUUGGUGACUUUGAUGCUUCUGUCCUUACAAAAAGAGAAAACUUCUACAAACAGACACAAACCCAAGGCUGGAGGAUUGCUUGAGAUCAGGAGUUCGAGACCAUCAUGGGAAACACUGCAAGACCCUGUUUCUACAAUUUUUUUUUAAUCAGCCAGGCAUGGUCGCACAUGCCUCUAGUCCCAGCAACUUGAGAGGCUGAGGUGGGAGGAUCGCUUGAGCCCAGGAGGUCAAGGCUACAGUGAGCUAUGAUUGCACCACUGCACUCCAGCCUGGGCGACAGACAGAGAUCUUGUCUCUAAAAGAAAAAAAAAAAAAUGCCCCAGAGUCAAAAAUAAAUUAACCCUAUAAACCUAAGAAAACCUUACAUGCUUGUAUAGUUUAUUGUCUUACACUGUGUCUCUAAAUUUUUCAUAGGCUUUA